CUUUUUUUUUUUCCCCCUUCAAACCAAGGUUCUCUCUAAAGAAAACAAAGCUCUGUGGCCUGGUGCUGGCCUGGGGGGCCGCGCUGCUCUGCACAAGGAGUGGAAGCUGUUGUGCUGGAGCUGCUCCAGCAGGGAGAGCAGGUUCUGCUCCUGCCCCACCACGGCUGCAGAUGGGAGUCCUCUGGUGUGAGGGGAUGGGGAAGGGGAUGGAGUUGGGGUUGUGGAUGGGUUUGGAGAUCGGAUGGGGGUGGAGGUGGGGAUGCCAGUCCCACUUCCCCGGGACGUGGGGACCGCAGCGUGGGAGGGGACCCAGUCUGCGGCUGCUGGAGGCCUCACCGGAGCAGGGCUGGUUUCUGGUGAGUCAUUUGAGAACUCGUCUCAGUACAAACAUGGCCCUGCACCCUGGGAUUGUGCCUGGGGCCCCGCUGCUGCCUGGUGCUGAAAUGAAUAAAUGCUGCCCGUGAAAUGAACAAACGCUGCCCUGCAGCUCUGUGCGUCCAGUGCGCGGGAGCUGCUCUGUCGGUGCCAUGGCUGCAGGCGCUGCCUGUGUCCUCAUGGGUCUGAGGGUGAAACGUGGUUGUUUUGGGGUGAAAGCAGCUCAUUUUCCCUCCUCUCUUUCUGUGAAGGCUGUUCUGCGUUUUGCUUGGCUGGUGGCAGGCAGGAAGGUUUUGCAGAGCUGGAGUGCAGGGGCGGCAGGGGAAGGUGUUGAGGCAGUGGCAGCAAGCUUGCAAACCACAGCAGAACCCCAUGGAGCGGUGCUGCCCUGCAGCCUGGGGGGGGGGGGGUUGUUGUGAAACACCACUGGUGUCUGUGCAGGAGCUGAGCUGAUGGGGGAAAAUCCAGGACUGGGACCCAGGCUGGCAGCUAAGUGAGGGCAGUGGAGACAGGACAGUGCUACCCUCGGCAUCCAUUGCAUAUGCUUGGGGUGUGGACCUCUCUGGCUGUGCCCAGCUGGCUCUGGCAGCCCACAGAAGCCCAAUUUCUCCCCUCAGAAAGCCCGCUCCUCAUCUGGGGGUCAAUGUUGCCCAUGCAGGCAGAAGUGAGCUUGUGCCCUGCCUGCUGAUGAAGCAGGAGCAGGGUCUGUGCUUGUCACAGGUGCGACCAAACUCCCCGUGCCCCAUCAUGUCCCUGGCUGCCCCUCCUUCCCCGCCACAGCUGUGCCCCAUCACCACCUUACAUCUUCACUGCUGUUUUUUUCCUAGCUUGCUCCAUGCCCACAUGCCACAGGAGCUCCCUGAGCCCCUCCCAUGGCCCCGUGCAGGGCUCCAUCCCCUUCAUCGCACCGGGGCGACUGCCGGUAAUUGGGAAGGAAGUGGUUUGUGGAAGGGUGACAGUGAUGAGCUGGUUCAGAAGUGUGGCUAUGGCUUGAGGUUUGUGCUUUGGAAAGCUGACUAAUUUCCACCAGAAGUGAGGCCACAAGAAAAAAAGAGUCCUCAGAGAUGGCUCUGCCUCUGACCUUCUGACACGGGUGCUGGGAGGGGCCAAGGGCUGGGCAACACGGGCAAGCCCAGUGUUCACCUCCUGUUCCACCGGGAUACGCUUCCAUCUCCUGCUUUCAGGGUUCCUUGGGCUUUUCCCCACUGGGGCCAUAGGUUUCUCUAAAUGCUUUGUCUUUGUAGCCUGCAAAUAUCAUCUUCUAACAUGCAAAAUCUCCCUUUUUAGUUUUUGUGGGCACAAACGCCUGCAAACGAUAUGGCUUUGGCAUGGGGAGAAUGCUGAAAGAAAAUGAAGCCCAUCCAAAUGCCUGCUGAAAUGUGUCCUUUUCCUUUGUGCAAAGAGGGGGGAAUGGAUAAGGGAGCGAUGAAAGGCCCCAGCUGUGUCUCUGUGGGGCUGGAAAGGCAGACCCCAACAGCAGAUGAGGCCCUGCAAAUUUCUUCCCUCAAUGCAAUUGAGUCUCACGGGUGGCAGGAUGCAAUUUGUGUUUGAGUUUGGCUUUCUAGUGAAACUCUUGGCUUGUCACUCUCAAGGCACAACAAGCUCCUUAAAUAGCAGGCUAAAUUUCUCCACCUAGCCUAAAAAAAUAAAACAGUACUCUGCCAAAUGAAAGGACAUAUUCCAGUAUUCUUUGUUGUUGCAACAAAUUGGGUGGAUACUGUCAGACUUCUGCGUUCUGGGAAUACUUCCAGAGCCUCUCUUUGUGUGCAAGUCGGUUACCAUGUAAUUGUCAACUUAAAUUGCAGUGUUGGAUAACUCCGCUUCGGCUGUAAGCUAAUCUGCCUCGCUGGUGCCUUCGCCUGCAGCGUGUGGGCAGUGAGCUGCACGGCUCCUCCUGCGCGGGGCAGAGGGCACUGUUGUGUUGGGUCAAUGUUGCAUUGGGGCAAUGUUGCAUGGAAGCAAGGUCAGUUCGGGGCAAUGUCACACUGGGGCAGUGUUGCAUUGGGUCAGUGUUGCCUUGGGGCAGUAUCCUGCUGGGUCUAUGUUGCAUUGGGGCAAUAUUAUGUCGGGUCAAUGUUGCAUUGGGACAAUAUCCUGUUGGGUCAAUGUCGCACUGGGGCAAUGUUGCAUGGGAGCAAUAUCAUGUCGAGUCAAUGUUGCGUUGGGACAAUAUCCUGUUGGGUCAAUGUUGCAUGGGAGCAAUGUCACUUUGGGGCACUGUGGCAUUGGGGCAAUAUCAUGUCGGGUCAGUGUUGCUUUGGGGCAAUAUCAUGUUGGGUCAAUGUUACAAUGGGGUAAUAUUGCUUUGUUGCUUUGGGGCAAUGUUGCAUGGGAGCAAUGUCACGCUGGGGCAAUGUUGCAUUGGAGCCCCUGUGCUGUGGGUGCUGGCCCCUUGGCUAAAGCCCUGCCCAGCACUGAGAGGUUUUGAUCCCCCUCGUGUGGCUGGGGCUGUCCCAGGCAUGGCCCUCACACCCCACGUGCCGCUGUCUGCGGUGGAGGAGAGAUAAAAGGUUGCUUUCGAUGCAGUGGGAAUCGUGUUCACCCUCUUCCUUCCUCUUUCGAAUUGGCAGCUUGUUUUGUUGUGUUUGUUUUAGCCUGAAUCCCAAUGACAAUUAGUGCUAGAAGGCUAGAUUAAGCUGUUUUUACUUGUUUUCUUUUUCACUUUGAUUUCCACCUCCUCCAAAUUCUUAAUCCUACUGAAUAUUUCAUCUCUUGUAACUCUGUCAAUUGAAAGUCCCCCAGCGGGACGCACAGGACCAGCACUAUUAGAGCUGCUUUGCUGUAGCUAAUGCUGCUCAGCGCUGGGCUGAGUUUGUUGCGCAAUUUAUUUCAGACGAGCAAACCACAGCAUCCGCUGCAGCACCAACCGCGCAAGCGGCCUGGGAACGGCGCCGUGCAGCAAACGAGAACUUCGGUGGCUGAUGAGAAAGCAGAGCACCCCUCGUUCCCAGCCCGCUCCUCCUCCCACUGCACGCGAUGGUUGCAGGUGGGAACCUCCCGUGGUGCCGCGGUCCCACCGCUGCCAUAGGGAUGGUGCUGCUGGGGUUGGCUGCUGGGGGUCCCCUCUGCUGGGUUGGUGUGGGGCACAGAGCUGGGGAUCCUGCCCCGCUGUUCAUGGUUCCCCAGCAGAAAUCACACUUCUGGCUUUUUUUUUUCCCCCCGGAGGCAGGGCUUCCCAGGGUGCUCUUGGACUUGUUGGGGUUGGCUUUUCUUUUUUGUGCUAUAAACUUGAACGCCAUUGUCAAAAUGUCUCAGUAGGGAACUUCACUCAUGUCAAAAAGGCAUUUCCCAGCUUGAACUGCUCUGGGCUGACAGUGCUCGGGGCUGCCCAUCCCAACAGACACUUUCUCACUUCUGCUGCCUCGCACGGCCUGGAGAAGGGCUGUGCAUGGGGUCAGCGGGGAGCACUGCCUUUUACCCCCCAGAGCACUCCUCAAUAUCCCAUCAGCGCACAGGGACAUUCCCCCAGGAGGAAUCGAGCUGCUCACACAUCCUGCCACCUCUGACACGAAGCAGGGCUGCAGCAGGCUCUGCCAGCAGCUACCGGCGCUCACAAAGCUUCACCACUCCUCACCUGCUCUGUCUGUUCCUUAUCAAGAGCCCCAAAGUGGCUGCAACCACUCCAAGCGCCAGCAACCCACUCCAAGCGCUGCUGCCAAGGGAGCGGCGGUGGCAUAUGUUUGCUCUCAGUGCAAGGUUACAGUCUCUACUCAUUAGAAGUUCCUCUCCUCAUUUUUGGGGCAUAUGUGGAAGAGCAGGGUGCCAAGCUGGCAGCGCGUGGCGGAGCAGGGAGGGCUCUGUGAGGCGUCGGCGUUUGCUCUUGUGCUUCUGUCCAUGGUUGGUCUGCACUGAGCAGCACAGCACAUGGUGUCAGAGCAGUGCUGGGGUGCAGGGAUCCAUGGACGGCUCCCAAUGCUCCAUCAAUGUGCAAAUGUGACUCCGGGCCCAGGCUGGCUCGCAGGCAGACGCCGCAGUGAUUGGAGCUGCGUGGGCACCAUGCAGAGCCGGGUCAUUCUGCACAUUCCUCAGUAAUGGCCUGAUGGCUUUGCAGGAUCUGCAGCCCGAAGUAAUGGCUCAUUGCUGAACCAUAAGUGGUCGUACCGUCCUUGGGAUUUAUUGUAGGCCAAGGGAUUAAUUUCCUGAAAUAUAUGGUCAUGAUGUUGAGGUUAAAUUAAGAUCUCAUUCAAAAGGAUUCUUUUAUCAUAUUUAAUUUGUAACCCUUUUUCUGCAGCCAUUUUACAGCUUUUCCUCCCCCUCCCUUCGAUGUUCAGUGUCAUGUUUCCAGGAAGAAUCUUAUUUCAUGCAGACUAAUAGCAUUUUUCAGUACAACCUUUUACGGUUCUCCCCGUUCGAGUUUCUUCUGUCUCGGUUGCUCGUACACAACGAGGUCUUAAAUCCUCCCUUAGAAAAUAGAGACGUCGAUGCAAAAGCACCCAGAGCUGCUGGCAGACCCGGAUCCAUCCCUUCUCCUUCCCCACACCCCCUCCAAUCUGCUGUAACAAAAAGCCCUUUUACUUCGGAGCUGGAGCACGCUGAUAGGACGCAUGUCAGGUAAACCCUACAGGACGUUUUUACACUGGGUGAUAAGCCUAUAAAAGUGGGUCUGGUUCCACGCUGGCCUUGCUUUGCCCUCCAUGGUGUCAUGAAAUGGACAGGUGGACCUGCUGCACUCUGGGAUGCCAGAGGUGCGUUGGGCAGCGCUGGGUUCAGGAUGUGGCCCUUUGGAGGAGCACAUCACCCGGUCACUGCUCGCCUCGUGCACGGCCUCCCCGCCUGCAGCACUGCUCCUGUUCUGAGCAGCGCAUGCUUUAAUUGUGCCGGGCUGUCUGGCCAGGACAGCUGUGGAAAACCAAUCUUUGGUCCCCAGAUCUGGUCCCACGCUGGAAGAAAACAAAGCGGCCCUUUUCAGAGUGGGUGGAUGUCCAACAGGUGAUGUACAAAAGGCAUUUGGGAGCGGGUAGGGAGGAGACGGCGCUACAGAGCGGUGGGCUGUGCACGGCUCUGUGCGCGCUGCUCCUUCACUGCCUGGGUCAGGGCUGCAUGGCACCGCGGGGGAAGUGCAUCCUUCUGUUUGCUGGGGUGAGUUUUUCUCCCUGCCCUGAUCACCAGAGCCAAGCGCACACGGGCACCUGCGUGUGCAGGACAGCACCAGGGGCACGGAGCACGCAGCCCCCAGGUGCUGGGCUCUGCCCAGGGGCACUGGGGUGAGCGUGACCCCCAUGGAGCACAGACCCCAGCCCCAUAGCACAUCCUCCUGGCACUCCACAGGGCGGGAGGACAAGCAGCCCUAAAGCUCGCCCGGUUUGCAGAGGCUUCUCUGUGCCAUGCAGAGCCAACGUGAGCGCCUGGAGCGGGCACACCUGCACGCAGGGAGCAGCCCAGCCCCACCGCAGCCUGCAGCCCUGCCUCGUUGCCGGCGUUUGCUGGACAUCUUGAGGCUGAUUGCGGAGGUCAGGACUCAACUGGAAAGACCGCAACGGGUUGCUGACUGGCAUCCACGGCCCAGAUAAGA